CCCGGCUCUUCUGAGGGCAGCUCACUAGCGGCUGGGUCCUAUCGCACAGGUCUGAGGAAGAGAAGCAGGAGGCGGGUUCCUGGGGGGCCACUGUGACCUUAGAGCACCCGACAGAGGAGGCCUCGUGCUUCGUCUGACACACGAGGUGCCCAGACUGCUGGUGCUGACGGGACAAUGUUCAGGCUUCUGAACCCGGUUUUGGCCUUCUUCCGGAAGAGGGCGGACCACGCCGAGGAAGAGUGCAUGCAGCAGCAGGGGCUCCCACAAGAUGACAUCGAGUUGAAAACUGUGCAAGGAGCUAUGACAAAUUUCUUUUGUGAUUAUGGCUUGAUUAAUGAGUCGAUCUACUUCAGUGAUGUUGUGACUGGCAAUGUGCCUCUAAUAGUUAGACAAAAAUUUACUGCAGUUGUUGAAGAUAAUAAAACAUCUCAUGGAUUGGAUGCAGUCAAACUGUUUUAGGUUUUGUGCCUGACAAGGGUGACUGGUUAGAAGUUCAAUAUUCCAAUCAGCCAGGCACCUCAAAUAUCAAGCCAUGCUCACUGACACCCGUGAACUACAAGCAUGUGGAUGAGGUCUGCAUCACUAGCCUACAUGGAAGAAACGGGGUGAUAGAUGAUACUAUCUUCUUCACGUUGGAUUCUCUGAAACUUCCUUGUGAUUACGUACCUCAAAGAUACGAUGUCGUCAUUGUGGUCAUGGUGGAGAGCACACAGUCAUGCUACAUUUGGAGAGCAGU